rnacentral:rRNA from 1 species
AGCGAACGCUGGCGGCAGGCCUAACACAUGCAAGUCGAACGAACCUUUCGGGGUUAGUGGCGGACGGGUGAGUAACACGUGGGAACGUGCCUUUAGGUUCGGAAUAACUCAGGGAAACUUGUGCUAAUACCGAAUGUGCCCUUCGGGGGAAAGAUUAAUCGCCUUUAGAGCGGCCCGCGUCUGAUUAGCUAGUUGGUUGAGGUAAUGGCUCACCAAGGCGACGAUCAGUAGCUGGUCUGAGAGGAUGAUCAGCCACAUUGGGACUGAGACACGGCCCAAACUCCUACGGGAGGCAGCAGUGGGGAAUCUUGCGCAAUGGGCGAAAGCCUGACGCAGCCAUGCCGCGUGAAUGAUGAAGGUCUUAGGAUUGUAAAAUUCUUUUACCGGGGACGAUAAUGACGGUACCCGGAGAAGAAGCCCCGGCUAACUUCGUG